rnacentral:rRNA from 1 species
UACGUAGGGUGCAAGCGUUAUCCGGAAUUAUUGGGCGUAAAGAGCUCGUAGGCGGUUUGUCGCGUCUGCUGUGAAAACUGGAGGCUCAACCUCCAGCCUGCAGUGGGUACGGGCAGACUAGAGUGCGGUAGGGGAGAUUGGAAUUCCUGGUGUAGCGGUGGAAUGCGCAGAUAUCAGGAGGAACACCGACGGCGAAGGCAGAUCUCUGGGCCGUAACUGACGCUGAGGAGCGAAAGCAUGGGGAGCGAACAGG